rnacentral:rRNA from 1 species
GGUGUUUACUGUCGAACUGAACACUCUACCGUUUACUGUCUGGUGGUGCUCUUCACCGAGUGUCACCAGUGGUCGGUACGUUUACUUUGAAAAAAUUAGAGUGCUCAAAGCGGUUUUUACACGACCGAAUACUGUUGCAUGGAAUAAUGAAAUAGGACUUUGGUUCUAUUUUGUUGGUCUUCGGAACCAAGGUAAUGAUUAAGAGGAACAGACGGGGGCAUUAGUAUUGCGACGCUAGAGGUGAAAUUCUUGGACCGUCGCAAGACUAACUAAAGCGAAAGCAUUUGCCAAGAAUGCUUUCAUUAAUCAAGAACGAAAGUUAGAGGUUCGAAGGCGAUCAGAUACCGCCCUAGUUCUAACCAUAAACGAUGCCAACCAGCAAUCAGCCUGUGUUCUCUUGAUGACACGGCUGGCGGCUUCCGGGAAACCAAAGUCUUUCGGUUCCAGGGGAAGUAUGGUUGCAAAGCUGAAACUUAAAGGAAUUGACGGAAGGGCACCACCAGGAGUGGAGCCUGCGGCUUAAUUUGACUCAACACGGGGAAACUCACCCGGCCCGGACACUGUGAGGAUUGACAGGUUGAAGCCCUUUCUUGAUUCAGUGGGUGGUGGUGCAUGGCCGUUCUUAGUUGGUGGAGUGAUUUGUCUGGUUAAUUCCGAUAACGAACGAGACUCUAGCCUACUAAUUAGACCGUGGCGUCCUCGUGCCGCCACGGCGCUUCCUAGAGGGACAGACGG